GGAAAGGUCUGUGGGCCUCGAACUGAGGCUAUUUGAUUAAAAAAAAGGUUCCAACCAACUCUGCUACAAGAGGACUUGUUUACAUGUCUAGCCUUUUUAAUAUAUAUUACAUAUCUAUAUGAUAAAAUUUUUCGGAGGCCCCCAAAAAUCAGAGGCCUUGUGCGGCCGCACGCAUCACAAUGAUAGCUAAAUUAAAAGCUAUUUAUUUUCCUUAUUCUCCUGCAAAUUUGUCGAUUGUAAUAUAGAGAAAUAAGGGUCUCCCGCAGAGGAUUAAGUAAAACUAAAAGGUUCAACAAAAGUCACAAAACGUGACUGCAGCUCCUAUUGAACAACAGUUGAAAAAUAAAAGUAAAACCUAACCUAGAAUGUUCAGAAAAACACGAAAAUUUACAGAGGUGUACUAGACACACAGAGAGUCUAGCACACAAAAUUUGAGAUAAAUCGGAGUUGCUUUGAUAGGGAAAUAAAAUACAGGAAUAUGACGAACAGAAGAUAAGAAAACUGAAAACUGAUUUCAAAGUAGUUGAAAAUCAGGAUAAUGAGACUAGCUAGGGAGGAAGUAUCCACCCCCGACAAUCACACACAGCACACUUUGUCCAAUUUGUGACCAACUAACUCAAUUGAAGAUGCUCAAAUUGACUCGGUACGCUUGAGCACAAUCUAUUGCUCUUUCUUAGUUUGUACGUUAGGCAGGAAGUGCUCUACACCUAAACUAUUCUCAAACAUUGUAACCUAAAGGUACGUUUAUUAGGUUAAACAAGCAGAGAUCAAUAAGCAUGAAAAGAGUUUGAGCAAUCACUAGGCAUCGCAAUAAACUUAGCGCCUUGCUAAACCUAGGGUUUCGUCUACUCGCUAGUGAAAACUACCGAUUACUUCUGUAGACAAUUUGAGGGAUCCGAUAUUGACCCAGGCAUCAAAUAAUCAAAGUAUUAGAACCCUAGCAUGUAUACUAAGUAGGCCUCCAAAGCACACACACAAAGAAUUCAUCGAUGAACAAUCGGUAAACAAAACCUCAAUCUUAUUAAUUGCAAAAACAAAUUGAAAAUCAAAGCAUGUUAUGAAUCAUGUCUAGGGGCUUCAACAGCCCCCUAGCUACUAUGAGUUUAGUUGCGCAUAAUA
rnacentral:lncRNA from 1 species